rnacentral:rRNA from 1 species
UAGGGAAUCUUCCACAAUGGACGCAAGUCUGAUGGAGCAACGCCGCGUGAGUGAAGAAGGGUUUCGGCUCGUAAAGCUCUGUUGUUAAAGAAGAACGUGGGUAAGAGUAACUGUUUACCCAGUGACGGUAUUUAACCAGAAAGCCGCGGCUAACUACGUGCCAG